rnacentral:lncRNA from 1 species
AAGUCCACGGAAGUUCGCGUCAGCGCUGCUGGGAGCUGCUGCCUUGUUUGGAUGGAACAUCUCUUCCAAAAUUCCCUGAGAAAAGAGACAGAUGAGGAAGGACCUGGUGUUAGAAGGAGUGGACGGGUGAAGUGCAUGGGGCGGGCACAGUGGUGCCCUGCCUGGGAUUCCAGCUGGGGCUUUGUGGUGACCAGCAAACACCGGCAGCAGGCUCACAAGGUGGGGUAGGAGUCAUCUGCUGGAAAGGCGCAAGGAAGAAGAUGGAACUCCCUGCUCAUCCAUGGGGAGGCGCGAAGGGACUCCCACCCCUACCUCCUGCGGAGACACUCAAGGUUGGUGGUGGGCCUGGAGUCACCAGCAGCCAGCCAAGGACCCUACGAGCGCCCAACGUGGAGGCUCCCCGAGAGGGCUGAUGGUGCAUGCCCACUGAGCUCCAGAGCUUCUCCUCUGGCUCCCCGAACCACAGGGAGGGGCACACCCCAGGGACAGGGUAGUGCAAGGGUUGGCGGGGAACACCCCUGCAGCCCACCUUGGCAGAGUCCCUCUGGGUGUGCAAGGAGAAACCUCUGAAAGAGUAUGUGAGAACACCCAGAAGCAGGACCACGUGCAGAACAG